UAUUACUAAGCAUAGACCAGUACGGCAUUAUACUAUACGCACAUAUCGUCGCAGAUUUGAGAACGAAAUUAUUCACCGAAAUAGAUUUCACAAGUGUAUGCGUUUACAAAAAUCAAUUUGCCUACAUUGAAUACUGUAGAUGUACGAAAUUGACCUAAUCAGUCCCCUUCCUUCCCGGGGACCAAAGAUGUAUGAUAUCUUUAAUGUUGCUCGAGUUCAAAAUCCAAUUCGAUUCGAGUAUACAAUAUUACCGUAUUUAAGAUUCUGAGCGACCGAGGGUUAACUAUAAAUAUUAUGAUGUGAUUUGAUGUGUCUGUGUGUGGUUUUUAUGUUUGUGAACAACUUUUUGAUCAGCAAUCUUGCUCCAUUCAUUGAAUUUAGAAUUAACUCUGGUGGGGAAUUAGGGGUGAACGUAUUUUUGUUUGGCAUUCCUAACACCUUGAAAACCGGAAGACCGGGAAAGUUCACGCAACAUCUGUUUUUAUUGAUUUCGGUUUUAUGCGUUAAAUGUAAUUCAAUGAAAAACAUGACCGUAGACAUCCAUAAUUGUCACCUAAUAUUUAAAAACACACUUUCUAAACCUUCUUCGUGUUAGAAUUUUCGAUUUAAGUUUUAUGCGGCUAAAACAUUUUAAGUUUGACCGCUUUCUAUGCCAUUUAUCAAAAUACAGUAUUAAGUAUAAUUUUGUACAUAGAAUUGAUUUUUGCACAAAUAGUAUAAUAAUAUUACACUGACCCGUACCAUCAUAUUAUAUUAUAAUAACACUCGUCGAACACCACGCACUGCACUGCCUCCCAAUCGAUGUUCCACUACUCUCAUUCUAUCUAAAAAACGGCAUACUUAAUAAUGUAAUAUCUCGUCAACGGGUCGAUGGGAAUUAAAAAUGCCACC